rnacentral:tRNA from 1 species
AAAUAAGAAGCAAUAAAACUGCAUUUAAUUUCGACUUAAAAGAAAGAGUAUAAAUACUCCUUAUUUU